rnacentral:misc_RNA from 1 species
UCCUAGCAGCAUCACACCGAUUGCA